UAUAUUUUGAUCCAAAUUUUAUAUAUGUUCACAAGCUACUUUUACUGAAUUUCAUAUAUUCUACCUUUUCUGUAGCACACUAAGCUUAGAACGAAUUUCUCUUAGUGUCACAUAAAUAGCAAAUUAUGGAACUACACAAAGAGUAGCAACCUCUCCCUUAAACUCUUCAUCUUGCCGUGACUUUGGCUUGUAGCAUGCCUCUUGUUUUGGUUCAUGCAGUUUUGUGGAUUGGUUUUAUGGUUUUGAGGUUGUGGAUUAUGAUGCUGGUUCUGCUGCUACUUCAAGAGAAGAGAUGAAUGGACCUUACAAAUAUGAUCCUGCUCCGACUUCUUUGUUCUGAAAGCAAGCUACCAUGAUUUAAUUGAAGCUUUUGGUGGAAAAGGCCAUCUUGUUGGGACACCAGAUGAACUUAAGUCUGCUCUUUCAGCAUUCUUCUCGGCUUAGAAAUCGGCCAUUAUCAAUGUUAUUGUUGAUCCCUAUGCUAGUUCAGAGAGUAGGAGGCUGCAAUAACACAAAUUACAUAGCCUUAUGGUUUUCUAUGGUUUUCAUUUUUAGAUUUCAAAUUUCAAUAACACAAAUUAUAUAGCCUUAUAGUUUUCAUUUUUGUGAUUUUUUAAAGUGUACCAUGAUAUGAUACUAUAUUCUAUGAAUCCACAUAAAUGUAAAAUGUUACAUGAUCAUAAUAAAUACUUGAAUGAUGGAAACUGAAUUUUAUAUAUA